rnacentral:lncRNA from 1 species
GUAAGUAAAUCGAUCUUUUUAGCUAUUGAAAUAUUUACUUGCUGAGAAAAUAGCUUCAUAAUCUUGUAAGGUAAAUAUACUAUUUGUAAGAAAUAUUCUUGUGAGAUAAUUAUUUCAAUGGUGUUUUAAUUGUAGGUGACUCAUUAUGAAUAUAGCAUCUUUAGAAGCAAAGGAUAAAUAUUCUUGUUUCAUUUUAAGUCAAAACCUGAGUAUGUUUUGCUUUGUAUGUUAUGAAAGGUGAGUCUUGAACACCCUAAAGGCUCACCUCACUGUUAAAUUUAAUCUCAUCCUUUAAAUCUGACUUGUAACGCUCAGGUAAUAAUUACAUUUCAUAUUGUUUUCAGGAGAAAUACUGCAGGCUGUAGUAGCUUUUCAAAUAAAGUAAACGAACGAUUGAACUAUUCCUAUAGUUGAAUAUUUCUGUAUGAAUUAUGAAGUGGGUGGGUCAGAAGAUUUUGAUUUUGUACUGAACAACUUUGUCCUUUUCACUUUUUUUUUUUAUGAGGUUUCUUAAUUUCCCUAUUAAUAUUGCUUCCAAAAUUCAUCAAAGCCUGCACAUGUAAUCAUAACAACCUUAUUGUCAGAUAAGUUUGUAUUUCUGAGAAAGGCCCUGCCCUAGACGUUAGAGUUCACCUCUUCUCAUGGCACACCUAUUUACCUUAUGAAUUUUGUUGACACAGCUCAUCACUAGUUUAUGUAGACUUUUUUUUUUCUCAUGUUGUCUUAUUUGCUCUCGAUUGUAUUUGGUAGCUUGUUUUUAAAAAAGUAUUUUGGAGUAGUAGAAUUAAACAUUGACCGCCUCAAUCUCAGUAGUCUUUGAGGGCUGCAAAGGUCAUGGUCUUCAUUUAUUUUUUGUUUAAAUUUAAAGAAAUGUUUACAAUCGAACAUAGAAGUUUUGACAGAUCAUAGAUGAAUAUGAGGAAAGGUGAUAAUAAAAACUGAGCAUUUCUAUUUUUAAUUUAUUUUAGAAAUUACUUGAUUUUUAAACAGUUGAAUAAGAACGUUAGAAAAAAUUUUUUUUUCGAAAAGGAUGCAGUUAAUGAUUAAAUUUUUCAAACCAUUUCCCUACCAUGAUAGUCUGGGGAAAAAUGUAAAUUGUUUAAAAAUAUUUGUACAACAUAUAGAAAUAAAACUAAAAAGCUGCUCUUUUUCACAUUAUUUAACAUCUGCCUUCCAUACUGGCAUGGGUUGAAUGGUUUAACUGGAGCUAAGUCUGGGGGACUGCACCAAGUUCCAUUAGCCGCUUUAGCAUGGUUUUUACAGUGGAAUGCCCUUUCUAAUGUCAACCACUUUACAGUGUACAGGGUGCUUUUUAUGUGGCACCAGUGAAGUCUGCUAUGGCAUGGUUUUAUGGUUGGAUGCCCUUCCUAAUGCCAUUCACUUUACAGAGUAGACUGGGUGCUUUUUAUGUGGUACCAGCACCAGUGAAGUCACCACAUAACUUGCGAGACAAAGUCCCCUCAAUUGGGAAGGGAAGGGGUAUUGAAAGAGGUGGCUUUGUGCCAAGUGAUGAAAGGUUGAACUAUGAUAGAGGGACAUAAACAAGUGUCUUGCAGCAGAAGGGAUACGUGAUCAUCCCAGUUAGAGAGAGAUGAUGGCAAUGAGCCAGGGCAUUCUCUCAAGGUACAAGGAUGUGACUACUCUCAUUGUAUUCUAGAAAUAUAUGCUUCAGAGAUAGUAUUAAAUGUGGUAUAUUUAGCACAUGUCAAUAUGACAAAAAUUAUUUCAUUCUUUUACCAGGACAGCAUCUUUUAGAGUAUAUUCAACAAUAUUAAUUCCAGUAUUUGACCAAUACUUAUUUUAUUGACCCUGAAAGGCUAAAAGAUGAAGUCAAAUUGAGCAAUAUUUGAACUCAGCAUAUAGAGAGGUGUUACCAGUUGUAAAUUUAAUUUUAAUUUUAUUAAAAAUAAUAUUUAGGUAAGAGAAUUUGGCUAUGAGAUUUAAAAUAGAAGAUAGAGAGGAGAGAUAUAGAAAGGUCAGUAGAAGUUAGUCUGCUUUGUGUUAAAUUUAGUUUUGAACUGGUCUAAAGAAUAAUCUCUCUCAAGGAAAAAUGCUAGUGUAAUUUUGGCCGGAUUUUAAGUUGCUCUAAAUCAAAGUCAUUGUUAUCAUCUCAACAUCCACUUUUCCAUGCUUGCAUGGAUCAUAUAGAUGGAAUUCUUUUACUAAGAUUUUCCAUAGCCAGGUGCCCUCCCUAUUGCUAACCCUCACUUGUUUCCAAGCAAGAUAACAUUCCACCAUGACUGGACAUAUUUUUACAACUAUCAUGUGAUAUCAAGACAAUGAGACACAAAUACACACAUGCAUGCACACAUAGAUUCAUACAUAUACAACAAGCCUCUUUCAGUUUCCAUCUACCAAAUCCAUUCAUAAGUCUUUUGUUUGGCCUGGAGCUAUAGUAGAAGUGGGUGGUCGAUCAACGAAGGCUGGAAGUCUUCGACAAUGACUGCCUCUGGUGCAUUCUUCGCUGCUGUUGGGUGGAUCGAGUUCCCACCGCCUGUCUCUGCGGCCCCUUCCAUCUGUCCUUCUGCAACGGUGCUUGCGGUGGUUUGGCCAUUCAUGUAGGUGUCCGGUGGGUGAACUGAGCCAUGAUGUCCUUCUCCCAACUCCACUUCCCAACUGGCAGAAACGCGCGGGCGGGCAGCUGAAGACCUGGGUUAUGACGAUCAAGGAGGACCUCUCUGUGCUCACGGGACCGCAGGUGGUCGGCCUGAGCCGAUGGAACUGUGACUGGCUCGCUAUCUCCAGUGAACUGGCGCAGGACCGUCGAGUGUGGGCUGCCAUGGUUCGAGAUGCGUUGAGGGUGGUAGAAGAAGCCGACUCAACCCGCCCAGGGUGAAUGUCGCCACAAGUACAAGUAUAGUAGAAGAUGCCUCUGCCCAAGGUAUUGUGCUGUGAGAUUGAACCCAAAAUCAUGUCAUUGGAAAAAAAAAAAAUGAAAAAACUGGCACUCUGUUGGUUAUGAUGACGAGGGUUCCAGUUGAUCCGAAGUUAAUGUGCAAGUGGCAGAGCACUCCAUAAACACAUGUACUCUUGGCAUAGUUCUCAGGAAGAUUCAGAAUGCUACAGAGUGUGACAAGGCUGGCCCUUUGAAAUACAGGUACUGCUCAUUUUUGCCAGCUGAGUGGACUGGAGCAAUGUGAAAUAAAGUGUCUUGCUCAAGGACACAAUGCAUCACUGGGAAUUGAACUCACACCCUUAUGAUCGCAAGCUGAAUACCCUAACCACUAAGCCACACACCUCCACUGUGGUUGAGAAGCAAACUUCUUAACCACAUAGCCAUACGUGCACCAAUUCAUUGGGCAAAUGGAUACAGUAUUGGAUUAUAUAUUCUUAAGGUGGUGAGCUGGCAGAAACUUUAGCACGCCGGGUGUCUGUCUUUACAUUCUGAGUUCAAAUUCUGCCGAGGUUGACUUUGCCUUUUGUCCUUUCGGGGUCGAUUAAAUAAGUACCAGUUACACCCUGGGGGUCGAUGUAAUUGACUUAAUUCCUUUGUCUGUCCUUGUUCGUCCCCUCUAUGUUUAGACCCUUGUAGGCAAUAAAGAAUUAAGUAUUGGAUUAUAUAUUCAUGAGUUGAGGAUUUGUAUCUUAUGCAGAUAUUUCUUAUGGGAAGUGAAAAACUUUCUAAUAUUUUAUUUCAUCUGACUGAAUUACAAAUCUUUUGGAAAUAUUAGCAUCUGGUAUCCUCUCCAAACAGGGACUUAUAUUCUCCUGACAUGAGAAUAGCUGUCUUCAGCAGCCCCCUGAGGAUUGUGGAGACAUGCUUCAUAUGUGAAGCUUGCUUUCCUCAAAAUAUGUUUUAUUUUAGUUUUGCUGAAUAGUUUUUUGAUAAUUCUUUCUACUGUAGGCACAGAACGCGAAAUUUUGAGGAAGGAAGCUAGUCAAUUACAUUGACCCCCCCAGUAUUCAACUGGUACUUAUUUUAUUGACCCUGAAUGGAUGAAAGGCGAAGUUGACCUUGACAAGAUUUCAACUCAGAACAUAAUACUAGGUUUCUGUAACCCAUUGUUGAAAUUGAGUCAAAUUAUUGCUGAGCAAUGGAACAGAAGAUAAGACUGCUUCUUGUAAACUUGAUUCUAGCUUGUUAUUUCAAUAAGAUGAAAUGAUAUUAAAAGGAUGGAAGGGUGAGACAGCGAAUGAGAUCAUGGUUAUUAUUAGAAAGUGUUGAUGAAGUGAGUCAAGAGAUUUUGGAAACUAUUCAAACUUUAAGAGGUACCUGAUAAAUUUUAUUGAAUUCUCACAAAUUGCUCUUGAACAGGGUGUGCAAAAUAAAAAUGAUCCUUGUGACACUAUUAGUGUCAUUUAAUUGUUGUUAUGUAGUUCUCUGAUCAAGCAAACCUUGUGGUUACAGGUGUUCCAACCAUGACUGCUUCAUCUAUUUUCUUCUGGAACUACAUUAGCUGAUGAAUUCAUUUCCAGUUUUAAGAUGGUAGAGUUUGAUUUGUGAGAGAUUUGACAGCUGUUUCUAUUAGACAGAGUGACCAUGCAGGGUAGUGGUUCUCAAGCUGUUGUAGUUCAGCACCUCCUUUCUCUAGAGGGCAUUUUACAACAGAUCCUCUUUUGGAGAUUAUUUUAUCAAACAGAAUUAAUUUUGUGCAAUAGUUUGUUAUUCAUGUUUUUAUAUAUCACUUCAUCCAGCAUGUACCUUCUUUUUUUUUAGAUGUUUGUGGACUAGUACCCCUUACGUUAAAUAUUUAUAGUAAUUACUAGAGAAGGUGAGGACUUAUGUAACUAACUUAUUUUGAACCUUGGCACAUCAUCUGUCUGAUAACACACUGUCCUCAUAAUUCUAAUACCAAUAUUUUUGUUUUGUAUCUUUGAAAAUGUAUUUAAAAUAUAAGUAAUGUACCUGGUUUGAAUAUUUUAUUUCUAAGAAAAACCACAACAAUGCUAGCAGAAUAUGGUACUAAAAAUAACAUCUGACCAUAGUUAUAGUGCGUAAAAAAAUAUUUUGGAAUAUGGCAGAGAAAGCAUUUGUUUUUUAUUCAAAUAUAAGAACAAGAAGAAAAUAUUUGAAUUCAAACUUGAAAAUAAUUUAUUGUAACUAAUUUUUAUCUCAAUUUUAUUUUUCUGAGAUGAGGAAUUUUAUAUUAUGUACAUUGUUUAACAUCAGUCAGGAUGCUGUCCUAAUCUUGAUUGUUGCUUUCACUAUGUAUCAGCUGUUGUAUGCUCCAACCUUCUUCAGAUGUCUCGUGAUUCACCUUAGUGUCUUACCUGGGAUUUAACUUGGAACCUCUAGCCGAUUGCACUGCUUUAACUAAUGCCUUUAUCCACUAAGGUGAAUCACAAGACACCUGAAGAAGGUGGGUGCGUAUACAGCCAAAAUGUAGGGAAAACAACAAUCAAAAUGAGGUCACCACUCUGACUAAUGUAAACUACAUAAUUUUGCCUUUUAUUUUUCAUUUGAUAUCAAUAUGAUUUAAAAACUUCUGUUGAAACAUUACCAUAGAAAAUGAAUCAUCAGCUAAUAUUCAAUUGGGUAUGCAACAAAAUUUUGAGAUAGAAGAACUGUGCACAUUACUAGAUCAUCAGUUGAAUUUAAUGCACAACAGAAUAGGUGUACCAUAAAGGUGAAAUAAGCUGAAAUACUGGAAUCCACCUAAAUCCACUGUAAGUUUGACUGAACUAAAGAAAUCGGUAAAAAAAUAGUAUACGGCCCUGAUUAUGGUAUGGAAGUGAUAAAUUCUAGGCCAUGCUGACUAACAUUAUUUUCCCUAUAUAAAAACGUGCCGGUGGCACGUAAAAAGCACCCACUACACUCACGGAGUGGUUGGCGUUAGGAAGGGCAUCCAGCCGUAGAAACAUUGCCAGAUCAGACUGGGCCUGGUGCAGCCUUCUGGCUUCCCAGACCCCAGUUGAACCGUCCAACCCAUGCUAGCAUGGAAAGCGGACGCUAAACGAUGAUGAUGAUGAUGAUGAUAAACAUCCAGUCUCCUCUUGGCAUUUACUACCCCUUUGUGAGCUUACCUCACUCUAAGGAGGUGCUACAACUCAGAUUAAGAAACGCUGGUGAGGAGCGUCCGUGUUAGCUUAAAUAUUAUUCAAAAAAUGUUUGUGCAAUCUUUUGAAGACAUUAAGUUAAAAUCAGAUGAUAAAAAUAGUUAAAAGUAUAAAUAGGGAUAAAGCAAGAUUAUUUGACUAAAGAUAGUGUAUGUGUUUGUAUUCAGGAAAUUAGAAGAGGUGGCUGUGUGGUACGUAGCUUGCUUACCAACCACAUGGUUCUGGGUUCAGUCCCACUGCGUGGCAUCUUGGGCAAGUGUCUUCUAUAGCCUUGGGCUGACCAAAGCCUUGUGAGUGGAUUUGGUAGACAGAAACUGAAAGAAGUCCAUUGUAUAUAUAUAUAUAUAUAUAUAUAUAUAUAUAUGUAUAUGUUUGUGUGUCUGUAUAACUGAUGUUGGCAUGUCUAAGUCCCCGUAACUUAGUGGUUUGGCAAAAGAGAUAGAAUAAGUACUAGUCUUACAAAGAAUAAGUCCUGGGGUUGAUUUGUUCGACUAAAGUCAGUGCUCCAGUAUGGUCACAGUCAAAUGACUGAAACAAAAAAAUAAUAUAUAUAUAUCUUGUUUCGGUCAUUAAACUGUGGCCAUGCUGGAGUACUGCCUUGAAAAAUUUGUUAUAGUUGAAUGAAUCAACUCCAAUACUUAUGCUUUUGUUAAGUCUGCUACUUAUUAUAUUGGUCUCUUUUACUGAACCACUAGGUUAUGGGGAUGUAAACACACCGACACUGGUUGUCAAGUGGUAGUGGGGGAUAAACAUAGACACACAGACACAUGCACACACACACACAUGACAGGCUUCUUUCAGUUUCUGUCUACCAAAUCCACUCACAAGGCUUUGGCUGUAGUAGAAGGCCCAAAGUGCCAUACAGUAGAACUGAACCUGGAACCAUGUUGUUGGGAAUCAAACUUCUUACCACACAGCCACACCUAUGCCUAUGCAGGCGUGGCUGAUAUAUUUCUGCAGUACAUUGUCUGAAACUGCACGAUAACUUUUGAAAAUCAAAAGCUGGAUUAUUUUCUUUUCUGGUUUGUUUUAUGUCAAUAUCUUACACAUGAAAAUUUAUGAGCUAAUACUUGAUUUCAGAAGAUGUGGUUCUAAUAUACCUUUCAUAAUUGAUAAUGGCAUUUAAUAAUAUUUUUGCAAUAAAUUGUUUUAGAUACUUUUUUUUUUUAUUAUUCUCUUAUUCCAAUCUCAGAAGUGAAUAUAGAAGAGAUUUCUCGAGGUCACUUUUUAAAAUAGUUUUCUUUUUAUAAAUCUCAUUCUUUGAUUGUAAGAACAAAUGUAUUAUAUUCUCAAUAAUAAAAUAGAACAUUCUUGAAAUAGCUCAGUUGUUUAUUUGAAUUUAGCUGUUUACCUCUAGACUACCGAAUACGAACAAUUUAUAUUUACCCUACAUCAGUUUGCUUCUAUUGCAUUCACAUUCCUUUUGAAUUUGAUGUUUUAAUAUUUUACAUUUUAAAAUUCUCUAUAUUAUCGAUCCAAUGCGUUUUCUUCUUAGUUGUAUUUAAAAAAUAUAUAUAUCUAUUCUAUCAUACAUAAAUGUGUUAAUAGUUAUAGUCAAUUGGUAUUGAAAAACUGAUUUUUAUCAGAUUAAUGAAAAUAAAGCUGACAGUGUUCAAGAUAGAUAAUUUUAUGGGAAAUCACUUUAAAUACAGGUUGUAACACAGAUUGGUUGAAAUUUGUAUCGGUAAAGUCAUUCCCUUGUUUAUUGUAAUAAAGGAUUAAUGGAAAAAUACUAGCAGAAUAUGGUACAAAGAAUAACAUCUGCCCAUCAGUAUAGUGCAUGAAAAAAUAUUUGGAACAUGGCAGUGGUAAACAUUUGUAAUAUAAGAACAAGAAGAAAAUAUUUGUAUUAUCAAAAAAUGAAAAUAACUUGUUAUAAUUAAUAUUUUUUCUUUUGUUUUUUCAUUUGAUGUUAGCAUGAUUUAAUUAAUAAAGUAUUUCACAGUUGAAUGGAAAAGACAGAUUCAAUUUAAAACAGAAGAUGAAAUGAAAUUUGCUAAUCUGUAUGAUAUCUAAUUAUAAUGUUUGAACACACCAGUGAAUCAUUAUAACAAGGCUUCAUAUCUCUGACAUAUUGUUUGCUCACAUCUUACUAUUUCUAAUUUCACCUACAAUCAAAUACCAUAAGCUUCCAAUGAUCAAGAGAACCAGAUUAUUUUGUUACAGAAAUUUCCUUCAAUUACAAGUGUUCUCAGCUCAGACCUAUUUAAAAAUUGAUAGCAGUUCUUGUUUAAGCAAAAAGAAAAAAAUGUUCAGAUUGUACACAUUUGUGUUCAUAUCAGGGCUCACUACAUAUUAAAACUUCACUGGAUCGAUAUUGAUUUCUUACAAAAGCACAAGGCCAGAAAUUUAUAUGAGAGAGUUGCAGUCAAUUUAGUUGAUUCCUAGUAUCUUACUGAUACCAUUUUCACUUCCCCCAUGAGAUAUGGGAAGCAAAAUCAACAUUGAUAGGGUUUAAAACAUGGACACUAUUAAAUACCACAAUGUGUUUUGUCUGUUACUUUACUAGUUCUGAAUAUAUACAACAAUAUAAUUCUGCUGUAAAUAUCAUAAUGAUUAUACACACACACAUAUAAAUAAACGCAAAUGAUUCAAAAUCGAAAUUGAUCAACAUCAAUGGAAUUUGUAGUUUGUGGUACCAGUGCUGGUGGCACAUAAGACAAACCAUCCGAACGUGGCCGUAGCCAGCACCGCAUCGACUGGCCUCCGUGCUGGUGGCACGUAACAAACACCAUCCGAUCGUGGCCAUGCCAGCCUUGCCUGGCCUCCAUGCUGGUGGCACGUAAAAAACACCAUCCGAGCGUGGCUGUUCGCCAGCCUCGUCUGGCACCUGUGUCGGUGGCACAUAAAAAGCACCCACUACACUCACGGAGUGGUUGGCGUUAGGAAGGGCAUCCAGCUGUAGAAAUACUGCCAGAUCUGACUGGCCUGGUGCAGCCUUCGGGCUUCCCAGACCCCGAGUUAAACCGUCCAACCCAUGCUAGCAUGGAAAGUGGACAUUAAACGAUGAUGAUGAUGAUGAUGACAUUUAAAAUUUACAACAGCUGUUUCAGUAGAAUUUUAUUUAUUUAAUACAGUCAUGAAAAAUUACAUUAUGAUAUAUGAUCCACUAGUCCAGUAAAUGUUGGCUAUGUCCAGGUCUACAUUUAAAAUGUUAUCCGUUCAAUAUUUUACAUGAUGACAGUGGAUUACAUAUUACAAUGUAAUCUUUUAUGACAGCAUUAAACGAAUAAAAUUCUACAGAAGCAGCUUUUGUAAAUUUCAGACAUCAUUUAUGCUUACUUGUUAUACCUAUGCCACACCAAAGACCCAUACCUGAACUAGAUCUCUGGUUUAAAUUGCAUUUGGUACUUGCAUGUCUACAAUAUCCUACCAAUACUUGAGGUAUUUAAGGUGAGCUCUAUGUUAUUGUACUUAGCCAUUUCUGGUGUCUUACUAGUUGAUGUGCCUUGAUUCUUAUGAAUUCAUAUAACAAAAUCAUAUAUAUAUAUAUAUCCGAGUGUGAUCGUUACCAGAGCAGCCAAAUGGCUUUUGUUCCCAUGGCACGUACAAGGGCACCGUUCGAGUGUGAUCGUUACCAAUGUCGCUUUACUGGCACUUGUGCUGGUGGCACGUGUAAAAAGAUUCGAGCGAGGUCAUUGCCAGUACCGCCUGACUGGCCCCCGUGCCAGUGGCACGUAAAAAGCACCCACUAGACUCUCAGAGUGGUUGGAGUUAGGAAGGGCAUCCAGCUGUAGAAACUCUGCCAGAUCAAGAUUGGAGCCUGGUGCAGCCAUCUGGCUCGCCAGCCCUCAGUCAAAAUCGUCCAACCCAUGCUAGCAUGGAAGGCGGACAUUAAACGAUGAUGAUGAUGAUGAUAUAUAUAUAUAUUGGUAAUGCUAAUGCUACUUUAUAAUUAUUAUUAUUGUCCUUAAUAUAAUAUAUAUAUAUAUAUAUAUUUGUGUGUGUAAAUCCUUAAAUCCUUAAAAAUGUUUCAGCCCGAAAGCUGUGGCCAUGCUGGGGCACCACCGUUGAAUGUGCUACACUAGUAUGUGUAACCUCCUCUGAUACAUGGCACUUGGUCAACAAGGGAGCUCAAUGCCGCUGCCCGCAUCUGUGUUUCCUGCCGAGAGGUAGGUUCAUCUGGAUCCCCUGACAAAAAGAGAUUGAGUUUAGUUUUAAAGAAACCCAUAUCCACACCAUGCAGGUCUCUCAGGCAUUUAGGAAAGGUAUAUGUGUGUGUGUGUAUAUAUAUAUAUAUAUAUAUAUAUAUAGUUACAAGGAAAGGACUGACAGUGAACAGGCUUCAUGAAACAGUCUAAAGUAGGGGUUACCCAUCUUUUUUUUGCACCUUGGACCAGUUUCAUGCGAGACAAUUUUUCCAUGGACUAAGGGAUUGUGUGUAUAAUGAAACACAAUAAAGUGCAUAAUAUAUACUUUAAUCACUAAUUAUAUAACAAAUAUGUAGUGUAAAAAUGCCCUGCAUACUGUGAUGGUAAAUAAAAUAGAAAUAAAAUUAAAGAAUUUAUUCUUUCUGUGAAUUGGUAUCAAAUGAUUCAUAGCCCAAUGGUUAGGGACCCUUGUUCUAAGGAAUGUGGUUCAAGGUGAAACUGCAAAGUCACUGUUAGACAUUUUAUUCAGUAUUCAGUGUAAUGAGUAAUCCUUCAAUUAAUGGGUUUUUUAUGCAUAAUUGUACGUAAAAAUUAAACAUACCCUCUAUCUGUCUGUCUGUCUGUCUUAGAGGAAGACCUAGUUAAGAAAUUAGAAGAGGCACUUAGAACUGGCAUUGCAUCCAACAUACUGGCAAUGAGGUUGGCCCUCGACCAACACUUCAACGUCAAACAUGAAGGAUGCGUUGUCAGAGCUAGGACACAUGCUCUGUGGAACGAAGGCGUUGGAGCCACCUGAGAGGCCUGAGUGGCGGAGGUGCAAUGAGCCAACAAAGCCACCAUUAGGUCCCUGACAGAUGAACAGGGGCGUGAAUUACUUGAGCCUGAAAGGAUGUGUGAGGCCUUUCAACAACACUUUACCUGACUGUUUGGGACAACUGGUGGGUUAGAAUGCAGAGUGGACUUUACUGCCUAUCUGCAUAGCCUGCCGCGACUCUCGGCAAAAGAGGCGGAGUGUUGUGAAAGACCCGUCACAGCUAUGGACAUACGGCAGGCUUGGAUGGUCUGCCCUAUGAACUUUAUGCCAGACUUGUUUGGAGGCGUCUUGGCAGCUGUCUACUGUAAAGUGAGGAGUAGUGGCACUGCUAAAGAAAGAUCCAAACAAAGGGAACGUCAUAGAUAACUUCAGGUGCAGAUUUGAAGGUUUUGGCCAAAGUGUUAGCUUAGAGGUUGGUGCUUGUCAUCGAGAAACUGGUCGACAAGGCACAAACAUAUGCCAUGCUGGACAACCUCCAUCUGAUGUGCUACAUCAUAUACAGGGUAGUUAAGGAACCUGGCAUGGAUGGGGCGCUGAUCAGUUUGGAUCAAUCGAAAGAAUAUACGAAAACUGAUUCCCCUUCCCUACAUCACAUUUCGAAUGGCAAGUGACUCUCUGUUCCUUUUGUUUGUUUUAAAACACACAACUCAUUAGGAUUAUGAUCGAGAUUGGUUGUGUGAAUGCGCAUGGCUUGGGGUCCCCUUGGAAAUAAGAGUACCUCUUAAAUAACAUAAAGUCACAUGGUUUAGAAAUUAUAUGAAGGCGGCGAGCUGGCGGAAACGUUAGCAUGCCGGGCGAAAUGCGUAGCCGUAUUUCGUUUGUCGUUACAUUGUGAGUUCAAAUUCCGCUGAGGUCAACUUUGCCUUUCAUCCUUUUGGGGUCGAUAAAUUAAGUACCAGUUACGCACUGAGGUUGAUGUAAUCGACUUAAUACCUCUGUCUGUCCUUGUUUGUCCCUUCUAUGUUUAGCCCCUUGUGGGUAAUAAAGAAAUAGGUUUAGAAAUUAUAGCCAUAAGUGAGACCAGACUCUAUAAUCCAUGGGCCCUAAAGUCCAUGUUUGGCGGACAAUUUAACAUUUAUUUUUCUCCCUGUCUGCUGAGAAUGAGCGGUAGUGGCACAGCGGUACUUUUUCACAAGAGCCUGCAUCUUGAAGUAAAGACAAUAUUCAUAGACUGGUUGUCCUGGAUGUUGAUGGCAGCAAUGGGUGUGCUUUUUGAUUCAUAUCUAUCUAUACACCGCCUUUAACAGGUCGGCCGAAUUUCUUUCAAUGUCUAGAAAUAUUUCUAGGAACGUCUUGUCCUUUACUUUUAGUUGGAGAUUGGAAUGCUACCUUCAACACGCAUCUAGACUAUGUGGGCAGUGAUAGGAAUAGACGGCGAUGCGAAUGCCUCAGAGACCUGCUCAGAUGCUUUCAACUGUAUGACAGGUACUGACUCAACCACCCGAAUGCACCAAUGUGGACAUGGAGCAACCACAUUGGGCUGUUGAGAUCGUAUCUAGACAGAAUACUGUGUAGGAUAGUACAUAGAGAUAGCAUGGGGUGUCCACAAUUCCGCAUAGUCACUUACAAAGAUCACAAACUUGUGACGUGUACACUAG